GACGAACCGUGCGAACGUUAUUCGGAAUCACUGGGCUUAAAGCGCGUGUAGGCGGGUCGCCACGUCGGGCGUGAAAUCCCCCGGCUCAACCGGGGAACGGGCACCGAUACGAGCGGCCUGGAGGGGAGUAGGGGGACCUGGAACUUCCGGUGGAGCGGUGAAAUGCGUUGAGAUCGGAAGGAACGCCCGUGGCGAAAGCGAGGUCCUGGGCUCCUGCUGACGCUGAGACGCGAAAGCCAGGGGGAGCGAAACGGG
rnacentral:rRNA from 1 species